GGUCCAAUGGUCUAGUGGUAAGAUACUUGCUUUGGGUACACACAAUUGCAAGGGAUCCUGGGUUCGAAUCCCAGUUGGACCC
rfam:Coniophora puteana RWD-64-598 SS2 unplaced genomic scaffold CONPTscaffold_12, whole genome shotgun sequence.